UGGCUGAUUAAAUCACCUUUAUUAAAAGAUACAAGAUGCUGGAAUACCAACACUUUAGAAUGCAGAAGUACUUUACACACAGGCCCAGGCUUGUGUCCAACAUGGCCCCUUAUUCACUAUAUAGUGCACUACUUUACACACAGGCCCAGGCUUGUGUCCAAUAUGGCCCCUUAUUCACUAUAUAGUGCACUACUUUACACACAGGCCCAGGCUUGUGUCCAAUAUGGCCCCUUAUUCACUAUAUAGUGCACUACUUUACACACAGGCCCAGGCUUGUGUCCAAUAUGGCCCCUUAUUCACUAUAUAGUGCACUACUUUACACACAGGCCCAGGCUUGUGUCCAAUAUGGCCCCUUAUUCACUAUAUAGUGCACUACUUUACACACAGGCCCAGGCUUGUGCCCAACCAAACUCACAUAGAGGCUGUAUCCAAUAUGGCCCCUUAUUCACCAUGUAGUGCACUACUUUAGACCAGAGCCCUAUUCCCUAUAUAGGGCACUACUUUAGACCAAAGCCCUAUUCCAUAUAUAGUGCACUACUUUAGACCAGAGCCCUAUUCCCUAUAUAGUGCACUACUUUAGACCAGAGCCUAAUUCCAUAUAUAGUGCACUACUUUAGACCAGAGCCCUAUUCCCUAGAUAGUGCACUACCUUUAACUACAGCAUUAUUCCAUAUAUAGUGCACUACUUUAGACCAGAGCCCUAUUCCCUAUAUAGUGCACAACAUUAUACUACAGCCCUAUUCCCUAUAUAGUGCACUACUUUAUACUACAGCCCUAUUCCCUAUAUAGUGCACUACUUUUAACCAGAGCCCUGAAUAGACCAGACACCUAAUCAUCUAUAUACAUCUUAAUCUAGCAUUGUGUUUCUCCUAUUAAUCACCCUGUGAAUGACUCUCUAUGGGUCCAGGUUAACACUCUAUAAGGGGAACAGAAUGACUCUCUAUGGGUCCAGGUUAACACACUAUAAAGGGAACAGAAUGACUCUCUAUGGGUCCAGGUUAACACUCUAUAAGGGGAACAGAAUGACUCUCUAUGGGUCCAGGUUAACACUCUAUAAAGGGGAACAGAAUGACUCUCUAUGGGUCCAGGUUAACACACUAUAAAGGGAACAGAAUGACUCUCUAUGGGUCCAGGUUAACACUCUAUAAGGGGAACAGAAUGACUCUCUAUGGGUCCAGGUUAACACUCUAUAAGGGGAACAGAAUGACUCUCUAUGGGUCCAGGUUAACACAUUAUAAAGUGAAUAAGAGUCCAUUUGGAACACAGCCACAGUAGUAAUAACAAAGGUAUUUUUUGAUCAAAAUCCCUGUAAAUAUCUGCGGUAUCCUUGCCAACCCAUUUCAAUCUGCAGGUUGUUUUUUUCUUUUCAAAAUCACAACGUGACAGUAAACCAGUCUUUAAAGAAAAAAGAGAUCUGAAACCAUGCAACACUCAACAAGCCCACGUUACAGUUACUUCUGGGUUCGCCACCGUUUUGAAUGGCAUCAUCAAUAUCAUCAUCAUCAUCAUCAUCAUCAUCAUCAUCAUCAUCAAUAUCAUGAUCAUCGUCAUCAAUAUCAUGAUCAUCAUCAUCAAUAUCAUCAUCAUCAUCAUCAAUAUCAUGAUCAUCAUCAUCAAUAUCAUCAUCAUCAAUAUCAUGAUCAUCGUCAUCAAUAUCAUGAUCAUCAUCAUCAAUAUCAUCAUCAUCAUCAUCAAUAUCAUGAUCAUCAUCAUCAAUAUUAUCAUCAUCAAUAUCAUGAUCAUUAUCAAUAUCAUGAUCAUCAUCAACAAUAUCAUGAUCAUCAUCAAUAUCAUCAUCAUCAAUAUCAUGAUCAUCAUCAAUAUCAUGAUCAUCAUCAUCAUCAUCAAUAUCAUCAUCAUCAUCAUCAAUAUCAUCAUCAUCAACACUUACAACACCAUAAGACUUCACACAACAGUGACAAGGACGUUUUGACGUUUUUUUGGGGGGGGGAGACAGAAUCGAUCAAAUCUCGAAGACCUCAUCCACUGAGUUUCCAUGACAGGACAAAACGGGUCACGUCGUAGAUAGAACGGGGUUCUCUUCUGUUUCAUUAGUUCGUUACCCGAGUCCAUCGCUGCCUUUAGGCCUCAUGCUUGGUGUUAAAGGGGGACAGUGACGAGCAACAGAUAUACACUACACUUCAGCAAACUAACCACUGGCACCAAACACUAACCUGCUGCUCCCAGAUCAGUGUCUAACCUCCGUGUUGGCACCAAACACUAACCUGCAGCUCCCAGAUCAGUG
ensembl:lncRNA